CCUACGGGAGGCAGCAGUGAGGAAUAUUGGUCAAUGGGCGCGAGCCUGAACCAGCCAAGUCGCGUGAGGGAUGACGGUCCUACGGAUUGUAAACCUCUUUUGCCGGGGAGCAAGCGUGCGUUCGUGAACGCGCGUCGAGAGUACCCGGAGAAAAAGCAUCGGCUAACUCCGGGACAGCAGCCGCGGUAAUACGGAGGAUGCGAGCGUUAUCCGGAUUUAUUGGGUUUAAGGGGUGCGUAGGCGGGAUGCCAAGUCAGCGGUCAAAAUGCGGUGCUCAACGCCGUCGAGCCGUUGAAACUGGCGUUCUGUGGUGGGCGAGAAGUAUGCGGAAUGCGUGGUGUAGCGGUGAAAUGCAUAGAUAUCACGCAGAACUCCGAUUGCGAAGGCAGCAUACCGGCGCCCUACUGACGCUGAGGCACGAAAGCGUGGGUAUCGAACAGGAUUAGAUACCCUUGUAGUC
rnacentral:rRNA from 1 species